UCGCUUCAGCAGCACACAUAUUAAACUUGGAACAAUACAGAGAAGAUUUGCACGGCCCCUGCUCAAGGAUGACAUGCAAAUUUGUGAAGCGUUCCAUAUUUUG
rnacentral:snRNA from 1 species